GGCGGCGUGCCUAACACAUGCAAGUCGAGCGGAGAAUGCGGAUAUGUUUACAUGGAAGCAUUCUUAGCGGCGGACGGGUGAGUAACACGUGGGUAACCUGCCUCAAAGAGGGGGAUAGCCUUCCGAAAGGAAGAUUAAUACCGCAUAAGCCUGCAGUACCGCAUGGUACAGCAGGAAAAGGAGCAAUCCGCUUUGAGAUGGACCCGCGGCGCAUUAGCUAGUUGGUGAGGUAACGGCUCACCAAGGCGACGAUGCGUAGCCGACCUGAGAGGGUGAUCGGCCACAUUGGAACUGAGACACGGUCCAGACUCCUACGGGAGGCAGCAGUGGGGAAUAUUGCACAAUGGGCGAAAGCCUGAUGCAGCCAACGCCGCGUGAAUGAUGAAGGCCUUCGGGUCGUAAAGUUCUUUGAUCAGGGAUGAUAAUGACAGUACCUGAAAAACAAGCCACGGCUAACUACGUGCCAGCAGCUGC
rnacentral:rRNA from 1 species